rnacentral:rRNA from 1 species
ACACAUGCAGUCGAACGCGAAAGGGGCUUCGGCUCUAAGUAGAGUGGCAAACGGGUGAGUAACGCGUGGGUGACCUACCCUUGAGUGGGGGAUAACGUUCCGAAAGGGACGCUAAUACCGCAUAACAUCCUGCUCUUAGAGAGGUGGCGAUCAAAGCCGGGGACCGCAAGGCCUGGCGCUUGGGGAGGGGCCCGCGUCCGAUUAGCUAGUUGGUGAGGUAACGGCUCACCAAGGCUUCGAUGUCUAGGGGUUCUGAGAGGAUUAACCCCCACACUGGUACUGAGACACGGACCAGACUCCUACGGGAGGCAGCAGUAAGGAAUAUUGGGCAAUGGACGAAAGUCUGACCCAGCCAUGCCGCGUGCAGGAUGACGGCCCUAUGGGUUGUAAACUGCUUUUGUAUGGGAAGAAUCUUUCGCACGUGUGCGGAACUGACGGUACCAUACGAAUAAGCACCGGCUAACUACGUGCCAGCAGCCGCGGUAAUACGUAGGAGGCAAGCGUUAUCCGGAUUUACUGGGCGUAAAGAGCAUGUAGGCGGUUUCGUAAGUUGGACGUGAAAGCCCCCGGCUUAACUGGGGAGGGUCGUUCAAAACUACGAGACUUGAGGGUGGAAGAGGAGACUGGAAUUCCCGGUGUAGUGGUGAAAUGCGUAGAUAUCGGGAGGAACACCUGUGGUGAAGACGGGUCUCUGGGCCACUUCUGACGCUGAGAUGCGAAAGCGUGGGGAGCGAACGGAAUUAGAUACUCCGGUAGUCCACGCCCUAAACGAUGGACACUAGGUGUGGUGGGUAUCGACCCCCGCCGUGCCGUAGUUAACACAAUAAGUGUCCCGCCUGGGGACUACGAGCGCAAGCUCAAAACUCAAAGGAAUUGACGGGGGCCCGCACAAGCAGCGGAGCGUGUGGUUUAAUUCGACGCAACACGAAGAACCUUACCGGGGUUUGACAUGUACAUGUAAUCCCGUGAAAACGGGACCCCUCGCAAGAGGCGUGUACACAGGUGUUGCAUGGCUGUCGUCAGCUCGUGCCGUGAGGUGUUGGGUUAAGUCCCGCAACGAGCGCAACCCUCGUGGCUAGUUGCUCUCUCUAGCCAGACCGCCGAGUUUAACUCGGAGGAAGGUGGGGAUGAUGUCAAGUCAGCAUGGCCCUUACAUCCCGGGCUACACACACGCUACAAUGGGCGGUACGGAGGGUUGCGAAGCCGCGAGGCGGAGCCAAUCCCACAAAACCGUCCUCAGUUCAGAUCGCAGUCUGCAACCCGACUGCGUGAAGGCGGAGUUGCUAGUAACCGCAGGUCAGCAUACUGCGGUGAAUACGUUCCCGGGCCUUGUACACACCGCCCGUCACGUCAUGAAAGCCGGCAACACCUGAAGCCGCUGGGCUAACCCGUAAGGGGGGCAGGCGCCGAGGGUGGGGCUGGUGAUUGGGACGAAGUCGUAACAAGGUAACC